rnacentral:rRNA from 1 species
ACGUAGGUGGCAAGCGUUGUCCGGAUUUAUUGGGCGUAAAGCGAGCGCAGGCGGAAAGAUAAGUCAGAUGUGAAAGCCCUCGGCUCAACCGGGGAAUUGCAUCUGAAACUAUGUUUCUUGAGUGCAGAAGAGGAGAGUGGAACUCCAUGUGUAGCGGUGGAAUGCGUAGAUAUAUGGAAGAACACCAGUGGCGAAGGCGGCUCUCUGGUCUGCAACUGACGCUGAGGCUCGAAAGCAUGGGUAGCGAACAGG